rnacentral:lncRNA from 1 species
AUCUUCACUUACUUGAACGAACUUACUUACUUACUUCACUUACUUACUUGUUUGAACGAAAAUAAGUUUUAAACAUAUAUAUAGUAGUGAUCAAUUAUUUUUUAUUACCAAAAAUAGGAUCGAGCCUAGGCAAUAUCAUCACGCAAUCAAAGGACAAUCAUGCAUAGCCGAAGUCAACCAAGAUUCAAGACCUUUAGCAAAGUUUCUAAUCGACUGAGUAAGAGAACCUGUAUGACAGAAUUUGUUAGAAAGGAUUGUUGAAGAAAAUACGUACUGGGAAUGGGUCGCAGAACAUCUGGCAUAAGUACUUCAACAAGAUUUUGGUAAAAUGUAUAAUCAACCCUUCUGAUGAAAUCCUGGACUGCUGAGCACUUACACAUUUGAUAUAGUUUA